GGGCUGGCAUCCUUCGGGGUUACAGCCUUGCUGAAUUAUUCACCCGUGUCUUUUGCGUACUUCUUGUUUCCUUGGUGGGUUCGCCCACCAUAGGACAAACCAUAAACCUUUUGUAAUUGCAAUCAGCGUCAGAAAAAAAAAAUUAAUAAUUACAACUUUUAACAACGGAUCUCUUGGUUCUGGCAUCGAUGAAGAACGCAGCGAAAUGCGAUAAGUAGUGUGAAUUGCAGAAUUCAGUGAAUCAUCGAAUCUUUGAACGCACAUUGCGCCCUUUGGUAUUCCAAAGGGCAUGCCUGUUCGAGCGUCAUUUGUACCCUCAAGCUUUGCUUGGUGUUGGGCGUCUUGUCUCCAGUUCGCUGGAGACUCGCCUUAAAGUAAUUGGCAGCCGGCCUACUGGUUUCGGAGCGCAGCACAAGUCGCGCUCUCUUCCAGCCAAGGUCAGCAUCCACAAAGCCUUUUUUCAACUUUUGACCUCGGAUCAGGUAGGGAUAC
rnacentral:rRNA from 2 species